ensembl:lncRNA
GACACAUUUAGUGAAGUCUCUAUUUUCAUUGGGAAAACAGCUUUGUCUGGAAGGAAAAAUUGCAGAUUUUUGACUUAGUCUUGACCCCACUCAACACCACUAAAAUAACUGUGAUAAAGGAGAGAGUGCUGAGUGGCAUAUUUGGUUAGGAUAGCAUAGCAAAUAUUAUCCUUGUCUUCAGCAGCAAAGCUUUCUGUAUUUGGAAAUGUUUCACUUUUCCUUUCCUGGCCAAUCUCUCUGCAGCGCUUCUUGGUUGGAGUUCCUAUUUGUCAAUUGUCCCAUUUUUGGCUACCAGAGCUCUGAGGUUUCAAGCUGAAGAUGAGAAACUUGCACUUUUGUGGUUUGGGGUGUAAGAAUGUGAAAACCAGGGGAUUUUCACCCUGACCCCAAAUCCCGCAGCGUUCCAGCACGUCUGCUUAUCCCGGCAGUGUUUAUGUCGGAUCUGAGCCACCGAAUACCAGGCUACCUCCUUUUUCUAGCUUUUAUUUUUAUUUUCCUGGUUGGUUCUGCUGCCCGCUGGAUCUUGCAGAGUAACAGUUGAAGACAGAAAUGCCCGAGAGCGAAGAAAGCAGAGAAUUGAAUUGCUGGAGUGACAUUUCUUCCUCUCUCUUCUAUUGAAGAAGAAAUGAAUCCUCUGACAACAGACCAUAGAAGGGAAGUGAUGGAGGCAUAUCCCAAUGACCUGCUUGCCGUUCAACACCUUGCUCUGGCUCUUUGCCUUGCCUUACAGAGGCACUCAGUGCUGGAUUCCUCCUUUCCUGGAUUCCCAGGGCAUAAUUACUCCAUUCCUUUGAUGGCAAUAACCUGAACUUUGAAAUAUGGGAAAAUGAAUCAGACAGGAGAUGGAUGAAGUCAUUUUCUAGAAGCUGCUCAGACUGUAUUCCCAUCCAAAACAAGAGCUAUUGAUGGUCUUGGUGACCACAACCAUCAUCUCACACUAAUUACUCUCAAUUGCUCCUACAUCAUGGACAGAAAUGUCUGAGUGAGGAAAGGGCCACAUCCAAAGGGGCAGGGUCUGAGGAGUUAACUAUCACCCUAUUUACUCCCCUGUGACAUCCCAUUGCCCUGGGUGGUUGGGGUCACCUCCAUGGGUGGGAUUUUUCCAUAACUCAGGGAGCUGGGAUGUAGAUUUUUGGUAAUGGAUGUUUUAGUUUCAAUAUCCACCAAUGAAAUGAGAUUUUUUUCCUGUGCCUAAAGUCUUUGGAUUGAUUUUGCUGAGACACUUGGGCUCCAGUCCUUCCCGGAGUAAUCACUGAAUCAUUAAGGUUGGAAAAGACCUCUGAGAUCACCCAUCCAACCCCAGCCCACCCCACCAUGCCCACCGCCCUCAUCCCUCAGUGCCACAUCCCCAUGGUUCUAGAACAUCUCCAUGGACAGUGACCCCACCAUUCCCUGGGCAGUGUGUACCAAUGCACCACCACUCUUUGGAAGAAUAAAAUGUACCUAAUAUCCAGUCUGAACCUCCUCUGGAUUAUUUUUUCUUGCGAGACAGCAGGCAGUAAGACUGUAUAUGCUAGAUAUUUUUUAGUUUGUUUGUUUGUUUGUUUUACAAUAGAAUGUGAAUGAAGUCCCUCUCCAUGCUUCAACUCUCUGUUCCAGAGCUUUGCUGGGUGCACAUGGUGUUAAUUCAGCCUUGAGAUGAUGUGUAGAUGACACCUCAGUGGGGUAAGGUCCAAGAUGAGCAUCCCACAGUGCUGGAUGGAAUAAGGGCCUGAGGGAAGGGGAGGCCUUGCCAGUAAUAAAGAGCCCUGAUAGCAAAUGGGAAGGUUACCUGGCAACAUUCCUGUCCAAUUAAAGCAAAUUUAUUGUCAAGUUGCUUCCUUAUUGCUGCCCUGUUAUUAAUUGUUAAUGUGGUGCUGCACUCUGUAUAGGGUGCUGCAAAAGGCUGAGAUCAGGGGGUCUGAAAGGACAUUUUCUGUGCAAAGAAUCAUGAGUGCUCAUUGCUGGCUCUGCUCUGCAGGCUCUGGCAAGGAAAUUCCUGCUCUUGGAACAAGAGGGCAAACGGGUGGCAAAGAAAAAUAAAAUGCGUGGGGUCACUGGGUUCCUAAAUUAUAGUGCUGUGUGCAUGUGAAAUGCUUACAGAAAAAGAGACACCAGGAGAAUGGAAAUUUGCAGAACACCGUUUGGGAAUCUUGAGCUGUUUUCUCUAUAAAUAGAAUUCUCUGCUUCACACUGAAAUGAGACAGUGCCGUAUCCUUGGGUUCUCACUGGGCGCUUUGCUGUGCUCAGCCUGAUCUGAUCGGUCCCCCACCCUGACUGCAUGGAACCGGUGAGGCUGAGUUAUCAGGAGAUGGGCAGAUCUCAGCCAAGAAAGACAAACAUAAAUAAAAGAAGUUUGAAUUGGAGCAGAACUCAGCAUAGAAUCAUAGAACAUCUUGAGUUGGAAGGGGCUCUUAAGGAUCAUUGAGUCCAACUGCUGGCAUAUGGAGAUGAUUGACAUAAUUCAUGCAUUCAAACCCAACAGCGUUGAGCAAACACAGCUUUUGCUUUUUGUUAUCUUCUCCUUUCUGCGUGGAAGAGGAAAACCUCCAUUUCCAAACCCUCUUCAGCAAAACCCAAAUGUUUUUGCAUUCAGGAUGAAAGCAGCUUUCACCAAGCUAUGUGCUGCACAUGGGAGAGACCCCAGAGCUGCCCCACCAGUUCCUGGGCUUCAAUGCCUCCUUAGUUAGGUGGUGCUCUGGGCUGUGCUGCCCACUAAAGUUCCAUUUAUAGACAUUUUACAACGUGCUAAUAAAUUUACAAAGUGUUAAUAAACAGGGAUAAUUGUUUGUUAGUGUUUCUGAAAGAAUCCAACAGGGCAAAAACUCCCUAUAAAGGAUCUCUAAUGCUGCUCCUCGAUGAGCGUAUAAAACAUGUCCAACACAGACACGUCUGUGGUGCGGGCAGAACAUCUUUUAGCCAUUAACUCCUUGUAGCCCAGAUAAAAGCAGGACUUUCCAAGAAGUGUGGUUUUCUAAUUCUGUGCUACAUUCAUAUGGUAAGAAUUCAGUUUUAAAGAACUAUUUUUUUUUUUUUUAUGAAGAUGAAUGGUAUUCAGUGCCCAACAGAGACUCACUUGUGCCAGAGUCAUCAAAUGCCUUCCCAAAAACACAAGUGACAUCUUGGAUUACAGUGAUCCCUUUGCAACAGGACAGAUUUUUAGUUCAAUGCAUGCUACGUUCCCACGUUUGCCAUGCAUGGGUCUGCCUGAACCAGGAACCACGCACAUUUCUGAGCCCCGCUGUAGCAACAGAGAAUAUAAUUAAUUGCCUAAACAGGGCAACAUGCUUAACUAAAAGUUGGCAAGCUCACAUCUCCAGCCCUGCACUGAAUGCAUCAAUUCUGCUCUUACCAGAGGAGGACCCAGGAGAGCAGCCAUCCUCUUGCUGCAGACCACGCGCUGUGUUUCUGCCUUGGAGAGCACAGGGGGCAGAGCAGAGCCUUCUUCCCACCCCAUCCACACAGCACUAUCCUGAACACAGAGGAUGGGUUGCAGAGGGCAGAACCUGUUUUCAGCCUGAGAUAACCUACAAAUCUCCUGGGAUUCAAAAGGAAAACCCACGAACCUUUGUAUCUGCAAGACUUUUUGGGGUGAGAUCUUGGCCUCCUUGAAUACAAAGGGGAACUCCCUUUGAUUUACACAGUUCUUGGCUUGUUGCCUUCAGCCCCGAGCUUUGCUGGAUUGCAAAACUUGUAUCACCUUUCCAUAGUGGAGAAGAAAACCAUCCCAGACAGAGCAUUGCUGCAAACCAAAGGUUGUGCAAAGCCAUGGGUUUGGAAAGAGGCUGUCGGUAUCUUCUUUGCAUGAACAGAACUCUCAGCAUUUCCACAGGUGCUGCAGAUACAGCAGGGCCGUCCUGCUGCCUUCCUGCACAGCACCAAGUGUUUCUUCCCAGCUGGUGAUAUCAUGUCAGCUAAUGGGCUUUAAUUGUGCCACCCCACUUAGCAACAAUAAGCUGAAAGCUCAUUAUGUGCUGUCCUUGUGGCUUCUACGAGCAGCCCAAAGCCUCUCCAAUGGUCAGAGCUCUUCCCGAGAGCACAGCAGCAGCAACACAGAGUGGGGACGAGGAGUUCAGAUUGGAUAUUAGGAAAGGUUUCUUCUCAGAAGGAGCAGUGAUGCACUGGCACAGGCUGCCCAGGGAGGUGGUAGAGUCGCCACCACUGAAGGUGUUCAUGAAACAUGGAGAUGUGGCACUGAGGGACAUGGUCAAUGGGCGUGGAGUUGACUCGGUGAUCUUAGAGGUCUUUUCCAACGUUAAUGAUUCUAUUAUCCAAACUGUGUCAGUGACAGCCUACUGUCUGCCUGCAUUUGCUUACAUAACCUGCCAGUCACCCCAAAGCUAAUGCUUCAGACAGCAGUAAAUGAAUACAAAGCCACCCAUUUAAAUAUCCAAUAGGAGAAAGCAGAAUGGAUUGUUCUGUGCUUACGAGACUAAUUGGAUUUGGGAGAAAAAAUUUAAUGAUUUGGUGGUAAUGAGUUACUGGAUGGCUGAUUCCAGCAGAAAGUCCAACAGUGGCAUCAUGCCAAUGGGAGCACAGUCAGCAAGUGAGAUCUCUCUUGGAGUCUAACAGGGAACCAGUGAUAGGUCUUGAGCAUGGAAUAGAGCUCCAGGGCUUCUUCUGAUCUCAUUUCAUGCCUCUAUAACUCCUUGGCCCUGAUUUACACUGAUAUCACUGAGACUCCAAUUGGACCUUAAUUUUUUUAUAUACAGCAUUUCCUAAAGCUGUGGAGCACUCCUGUGGACCUGUUACAUCAGUGAAGAUGAUAUAUCCAGUUGUUAUCUCUCAUCUGCAAACAGCUCCAGUUUGACAUAUUAUAUCCUCUGGGCGCUGGGGAGCAGCAGAGAAAUCAGCAUUACCGAAGUGAAAGUGCCCUGCUAGAUCUGCAAACAGCUCUGCAUCCGUAACCCUUGCUGCUGUCCUGAUGUGACUCACAGAUACCGAGAAUUUUUGCUAAGCUGCAAAACUGCUCAGAGCACAAAACUCCAAGUGGUUUUCCUCCUGCUGCUUCCAGGGGUAGCAGCACCUCCAGGUCUUGGUGCUUUAGCAUGGGACAGAGGACGGUUGACCAAGGUCUUCCACACCUCCAUGGGAGCUAUUUUCAGCUCUCACUGCUGGAGGACAUGCAUUUCCUGGCAUUUUUUGGAUGAAUUUUGCUCUGUUGACCUUGCCCUCACUUGCCGGACCACUCGUCUUGUUGGACUCUUUGUCCAAGUUUGAAGUCUUGACCCAUGGUCUGACCCAGUGAAAGGGAUCCCAGACACAUUCAGCCUGACGUCAACAAGCCCUUCUUCCAGGCACCCAUUCCCUUUCCAGAAGUGCCUUCCAGGCACUUCACCCUCCCCGUGUCUCCUAAGAAAGCCUCCACCACACUGCUGGUCACACCCCCAGGUCUCCUUCAUCUUCCCAUGGUGAUGCUCUGGGUGCACCUCUGCUCCCUGCUUCCAGCCUCUGAGACAACAGAGACUGGAAAACACACAAUUCAUGUGCAAAAUCUUGUAACACAGAAUCUCCCUGGGAGUGAGAGCCAUCUGAGCUAGCUUCAAUCUCUAAAUGUCACCUUAACUCCCUGAUUAGCCUGUAGGGACCAGCAGGCACCUCCAGACAGGGACUUGUCUGCCCAGCCUGGAAGGACUUGCCAGGAGAUGAAUUGCCUUUUAGAAGAGCUCCACUGCCUUCAGAGGGAACUGCUCAACAUUUCUUUUUUCAUUGGCUCCAAUUAAUCUCCCUGCAGACGCCACAGGGAAUGGGAAUCCCUGUUCUUCCUCUUAAGAUGUGGGAACACUCUGGGUGGAAACUGCAGCAGUGGCCAAAGUCACCUGGAGGAGCACGUGUUGCUGUGCUGGGUUUGCUGAUGGGCUCUUCGUCCUGAAAAUAAAAAGUCUGUGAAAAAUCCCCCCUUCUGGCAGCUGUCGCAGGAGGAGCUGCAAGACGAGGGCUCACACUGCUGGGUUUUGCUGCCUUACAUGGAACACACUGCGCAAGACAGCGAUGGGACUGAGCUUCGUACGUUUCCAAAUCAGUCUAAAUAAGUUCUGAUAGCAAAUUCAAGUGAGAUGACACUUUAACUGGAAAUAACAGCAGCAGAGAAAUCAACAGACUUCAGGCCUUGGAGUCUGUUCCUUCCCUUCCAUCAGAUCCAGCACAUCCGUCUCAAACUGAAGCAGACACUGCUUUUCUUUUUUAUCCCAGAAGACACCACAAACAGUUUCUGUUUCAAAUUACAAAGUUCUAAACGAAACCUCAUCACACUGAUGGUUGUUACUAAUUAUGCUACCCUACACAAUGCUGCAAUCAUAUGUGAAUUCAGCCCCACGUCCAGGGUGGUCAUUCAAGCUUGGGAUGCCAGGACUGCAUUGCAGAAAAUGGACCCAACAGCCCAUUGAGAAAGGAUGCACGGAGGUUUUCCAGGUGGGGAGCUGCUGCAAUGGAAGUUACUAAGGAUACAAUGCAAAGGAGCCUUCAGGCACCUGAUGUGGUGCCCAGGAUCACGUUGUGUUUAUAGAGGACUCCCUGUAUAGAGGACUCUGUGCCACACCACGUGUCUGCAGAUGCUCAGAGAAGAGCUGAGAUCCCUCCCAGGUGUCCUUAUAUCUCAGUAGGGAAAAUUAAUUUGAAAAUAACCGCCUUCUUAAUGCUCCAAAGCCUCGUUUCUUCUGCAGCUUGCACGUGCAAAGGGAAACCACCAAAGCUCUGGAGAAUCUCUCUGCUUCCAUGCAGGUAUGGUGAGGUCCCUGUGACCCCAAAUCCAUGCUCUGUGGACGGCCAGACGUCCUUAUCCCCUCCCUGGCCUCACAAUAUUGCAGGGACACAUCCCCUGCAGCACUCUGUCCUGCUGUGUGACCUCUGGGCUGGCCAAAGGGUGACUGAAGCAGGGAAGGAGAAAUGCUUUCCCCCAUCUGUGGGGUGUACUUGUAACCCCACUCCUAAGGAUCUCCCUUGCAAAUUCAUCUCUGGAACUCAGCUGCAGUUCUGCUCCUUCAAACGCUGCCAGGAAAUGCAUCCCUCGAGCACGUUGCAGUUGGUGUGCUGGGACAAGAAGGUUGCCUGGGUGAAAAGGAAGACAAGGAGGCACUUCUACAGCCUGGCUAACCACAGACACUAUGUUGGUGUGGACGGAGGAAGGGCUGGGGGCUCAGAUUGUCUUUUGAGAACUUGCCAGGGAGUUCAGGGACCCACGUGCUGUCCCUGGGGCUGGUGACAUCUCACAGAGCUUGUGCCAGGAAGAUGUGGAUCACAAUGGGACAGACAGGCAGAAACGACUGGGCGGAAUGUGUCAGAGGAUGCCCCUGCCAUCACAACCCAGCAGUGUGAACUUCCCAGACUCGUCCAUGGAGAGCAGCCCAUGAGAGCUGCCAGGGCUGGUGUGGUGGGACCAGGGCCAGGUUUCACACCUCAGAUGGCUGCAAUGUCUUCGUGGGCCCCACUGCCAGAGGAUCUGUGAGGCACUCGUUGGGAUGGGAGCAGCCUUGCUGGGAAUCUUCCCAUCUUCAUGACGGUGGCCAAAGCACUGAAGGAUCCAUCUACAAGGGAAACCCCUCCAGGAGUUCCCAGACCUGUGGCAAGGGACUCAGCAGUGGGUAAAGCAGGGGAUCGGAUGUGAAGGGAGGGCUCUGGGGGUUCAUCCCCUACAUUGGUAGCUGCCCUGAGCCCUGCCGUGGGAUGCCAACCCUCCUGCAUCUGGCCUGGAGGAGUCCCCUUAGCUGCCAGCUUAGUGUUGAGGCCACAGGGGAUCUGCUGAAAGCCCCACGCACUCUGCAUCCUGGGAUGAGUUCCUUCACCAGGGAGGAGGGAUGAAACCUCACCGUCCUCUCCACCUCCCCACACCCCAGCACUGGAGGGGGAAGGGGUGAGGAUGCCCACAUGUUUGCUAUUAAGCAGCAGCAGCAAUUCCAAGGAUGGCUCCACAAAGCCCAGGGAAGCAGAGCUGCCAGCAGCGCCGUCAGAAGUGCAUUCAGGCUUCAGCCAUCCCUGGCAGCCAAGUGUUGCUUGGCGGGGUCCAAUGGGUUCCUUGGCGUCCCUCCUUUGUGUUGGUGGUUUGAAGAAGCUGAGCAGCUCUGCAGGAAGCUGAUGUGCUGCUGGCUCCCAGCCCUCGUCAGGGGGUUGGAAACUCAGGGAUGGGCCCCUCAGGACAGAUCAUGGGGGUGCUUAUUUGCAGAAAAGGCUUUUGAUUUGAAAUAUUCACUAACGCUCACCAAGCAGGGUAAAGUCCCUCUUGUUUUGGAAGCUGAGAGCUCAAGGUUGUAUUUAUUUGCUUUUUAUGUGUUUUCAACAGAAAAAAAAAAAAAAAAAAUUGUAGGUCAGAAUGGUGUUUAGGUGGAAAAUUCCUCACGGUCUGGAAAGGUUCCCCAGUCCCACUGGAGGAUGUGGGGAAUGGAUAAAGGAAAAGGAGAGGCAAAGGUUUUAACCCAGCCAUAAGUGAGGACCUCAGUACGUGCAUAAACCAGAGCAGCUCCCUCACCAUCACCCCAGCGACUUCACAGAAAGGCAGAGAGCUUGCAGAGAGGCAGAUUGCACGUGGGCAGAGCAGAAUGGGGAGAAAAAGAGAUAUAUGGUGAAGGACAGUAUGGAGACACGUGCAUUUUGGUUCCUUUUUUGGCAAAAUAGCUGUGUACGUUCUUCCUUGUCCCCUCUGCAGGGCAGUCUUGGACCAGGAUGCCAGAGAAAGCACUCAUCCAUAGGAGCCAAAUAGAAUCCCCUCCAGCUCCGUGCAUCUCUUGGUCUGUGCUCUGCCACGAGAAAAGCUGCUGUUGUAACAGAGAAGGCGAAAGUUUAGAGAGUCACCCAAAUGCACAUGCCUUCCCCAAAUGCAGCCUUCUCCAAGCUGCAGUUGUCCUACAGCACGACAGAAUGGUCCCUUAAGGAGCAGAAAAAGCAGGAGGAAUAAUAUCAUGGGUAAAAGCAACUGCUUUUCCAAUAGCUUGUUAAAAGCAGUGGGUUCUGCUCCAUUUCCUCUCUGGUGAUGGCGUGGUGCUGGCACAGCCACCUCUGAGGUCUGGCCGCUCGCUGGCAGCCUCGCUCCAAGAAUAACCCCAAAUGGGAGUCAUUAGUAUCUUGCAAACAUGUCAGUGACAAAAAGCAGAGUAAACCGGAGGGAAAUUAGGAUGCCAUUUGGAAGGAGUAACGAGGCAUUGCGUGGGGCAUGGCAGCAUCCCAAGGGAUGUGGGGGACACCUGCGUCAUGGCAGGGCCACAUCCCCUUGAAGACAACCCAGGAAGGGUGGUGGCAAAAUCCUGAGCACCUGCAGAGCCUGGGGGCUGUGAGGAGUAGCUGGGUGGGUGAAAAGGAGAUUUCUGUUUGCCGUUAUAUGUCUUUUAUGGGUUCUCAGAACAGAUAUUAGGUAGGAAUUCUUCACUGUGAGGGUGGUGAGACACUGGAACAUGUGUUUGCACCAUCUCUGCGGUGUUCAAGGCUAGGCUGGAUGAACAACCAGGUCUAGUGGGAGAUGUCCCUGCAAACAGCAGGGGGUUGGAACUGGAGGACCUUACAGAUCCCUUCCAAGCCAAACCAUUCCAGGAUUCUAUGAUUCUUUCCAUGCCCAUCAUCCCCCUGGAGAGGGGACACGGGGCCACUGCUUGAGGCACAUGACCACACUAGGCUGCAGUGCAGCCAGAGGAAAGCCAGAGCUUUGGCUGACAAUUGCAGCCCCAGCUGGGAGCUGCUUGUCUCCUCUUCUUCCCAGUCCUCCUUCCAUGCUGGAAGGGGAAGCCCCUGCAAAGGCUCUGUCUAGACCAUUUCCUAAUGAGAGUUCCCAAAAGUGACUGAAAUUAGUUUAAAAGAAAAACAGAUAUAUAUAUAUAUUUUUUUUUUAAUGCAAAACAUUCUUUGGAAUAUGGAAAGCACAGAGCUGCUUGCUUCUGAAGGGCAGAGAAAGGUUCAGGCCCAGGGUGGUGUUUGUCUCUUCAACAUUGCUGCUGAGUGAAGUUCAGGUCCUUGUGUCCUCCCCAGCCCCUUGGCUGAGGGGGAUUAGGAGGUCUCCAGUCUUUUCUUUACUGUGGAGCAGGACCAUCACCUUCACCAGCACAGAGUGCCCAUGGAUUUGUCCAACCAAGCCUUGAUAGUGCCCUGGAAUGAAGCUGUUCCCAUCGGUCCCCAAGCAAAGGACCUCCCAAACCUCCCAACCCUGUGCCCGUUGCUCUUUGUUUCACCUUCCAACAGCACCAGGAAGAAUCGGGCUCCACCACUUAUCACUGUACUCUGCCCUUCAGUGAGCUGGAGGCUGCUGGAAGGUCCCCUCUUGGACUCCUCUUCACCAGACAAAAUGAGCUCCAGAGGUUAUCCCAGAGCAGUGGGGAGCUACCGAGCCCUCAGCAGGCCCCAGUCAUUUGCUGUCAGUCUCUUUCCUUGGAGAUGAUCUCCAUUCUCUCCAGAGGGUCCCCAUGACCUCUUCUUCUGCAGCAGAACACGACAUGGGCUGGCAUGGAUUACUCUGCCCCCAGGGACCGCAGGCAUUGUUUGCUGUUCCAGAUGUUCCCCAUGCAAACACUGUGUUCCCUCCAUUGGCAAACAGAUAUCUUUGGCUUUGUUUUCCGCUUGUCCCAUGGGAAAGUCAUGCAAAUAAGGCCUGGACCAUGCACAACAUCUUCUGUCUGUCUGUCUGCCCAAGAUGUUGGGAGAUCCCAAUGCUGCUCCUUGCAUCUCCCCAGCAGGUGUCCAUGGAAAAUCCCUGCUCUCCGAGGGCUUCUGGCCACCAGGAUUACACCUCACAUCCCAGUUUGUCUUCUCAAAGACACUUCAGUUCUGGUUUUGGCUGUGCUGUGUACUCAGGGCUGUGUGAGUUCCACGCUUGAGCUCCAGCACAGCAGGGGCACAUUAUACAUGUAUUCUGGGAUGUGAGGUUGUGAUUAAAUUACUCCAUGUCUGAGAGCACUGUAGGCUGUGGAAAGCCACAAUCUUUGCCCCAUCGGCCACAGAGCUGAUGCGAGGGUCUGCAGGUAUCUUCCUCAAUAAAGGACACCUUGGUGGAGUUUCAG